UUCUGUUCUGAUUAAAUUUUUCUUCUAAUGGUUCAUUUUUUAGAAAAAGAGUAAUCAUCGGUAUAUAUUUGCUCACAUUUGCAAGAAAUUCUACAAAGAAAAACCCAACUGAUACAGUCAAACUCGGAAAUAAAGUCCGUUUUCGGGCUGAAGGAGGUAGGGAACAAACCAGAUAGAGUGCCGCUUCGGAUGAAAACGCUUUUGUUUGUUUACGCCUGUAUGACCAACGCUCACUCGCCGCACCUCCUUUUACUCCUACCUGUGGCGCGGCGUCAAUUCUAAGAUGGAAUAUAUCCGGGGGCGUUAUAUCCGAGUUGGACUGUAAUAGGGUUUUCACUUUUUCAAUAAUUAAAAUAC